UUCUUUUCGUGCUUUUGCGAUAAAUUAUGUUCGAGCUUUGAGAAAUAGUUGAUAAGAGUAAGUUGAUAAAAUAAAUGUUUCGAAAAAAGUCUUUUUCAUUUCUAGACGAUGCUAGAAAAGUAUGCCACUAUAUACAAAUGUGCUAAAGAUAAGUGAAGAUUGCGUAAAGAAUGAGCUUAGCAUUUUUUAUUAGUAUUCGUUAGUUUUAUAUUAUUAGUUUAUUACUGAACAAAAUGUAUUAUUUUAACUAAUCUUCUACGAUUUAUUCUAAUCGAUACAGAUUUUUUAUAAUAUUUAAAUACACGCGAGGUCUGUUUAAAAAAUAAUGAGAAUGCUUUUUAAAAAUUUAUGUGUUGAGAUUUUUAUAUAUUAUAUAUAAUCUCUUUUAAACUAUGAACUUUAGGAAUGCACUACGCGCAGUUUUAUCAUUCUUGCUAAUAUAAUUCUGAAAGUUUUUAUCUAUUAAAAUAUUUACAGUUUGCGAACUCGACUUUCUGGAUGUUAUCUAAUGUCCCAUGACGUCGAUCUUCUAACUGAAGAUUUAUCUUUGAAAAAAGAAAAAAACCUAAUCUUCAAAUUGUAGGGUGGAUGUCGCGCAUUUCAUUCGAACUGUUUUCCCUGUUCAAAACUCUCUAACUGCAGGCUAUAAAAAGAUCGGCAUCACGGAACGUUAAACAACAUCCAGAAAGCCGUGAGACAAAAGGGAUGGAAUGACGUCGGCUUUCAUGGUUCCGGCCAAAUCCCAACGCCGAAUAUCGAUGCUCUGGCGUAUUCUGGACUGCUGCUCGAUAGAUAUUAUGUCACUCCGAUCUGCACGCCAUCCAGAAGCGCUCUGAUGACCGGCAAAUAUCCCAUUCAUACUGGAAUGCAGCAUGGCGUUCUCAAAGGUGCCGAGCCUAGAGGAUUACCACUACGCGAAAAGAUCUUGCCGCAGUAUUUACGAGAACUUGGAUAUAGCACGCACAUCGUCGGCAAAUGGCACUUAGGAUUCUACAAAAAGGAGUAUACUCCGACUUACAGAGGAUUCGACACCCACACUGGUUUCUGGACAGGUCAUCACGACUAUUACGAUCAUACAGCCGUUGAAAAUGUGAGCAAACCCAGGUAGAAAUUUCCCUCGAUCUGCCCUGAAUAUAUACGGGCCCCGUAUGGGAAAUAUUAGCUUGGAAAAUCCGGACGGCGAAAAUCUUGGCUUUUCGCUAUAAAUUUUCCACGAUUUUUCCCAGGUUUUAAUUAAAAAAUAUCUAUCUAUAUUUUUUCCGAGAUCUGGUCGCGGGUUCGAUCAGGGAAAAAGCAGUAUUUUUAUUCUGAACUUUCAGAUUAUUUUAACGUUUGUUAAAUAUUUUACGGCUCAAAAUAGUAACACCUUACAGCAUAUCAAAGAGUUUUACGGUUCGAAAUAAAAGAAAAACCGGUUUGAAACGUACAAAAUGUGUGAUCGCAUAUUAGCGGUUUCUCGUCUAUUGUUGAGGAAGCGAAAAUAUCGGGCGAGGAAAAAAUUAGAAACAAAAAUAGUAAACAUCAAAAUUGAAAGUGACACGUCUGACGAAAGUGACUUGAUAAAAAACAAGUAUUCGCGAUCUAACAGUAAUAAAGAUAAAAAAAACCGCCAAUAAAAUAUAUAAGGAGGAAAUAUUUAUUUAU